UACGGAGGGUGCAAGCGUUGUCCGGAAUCACUGGGCGUAAAGGGCGCGUAGGCGGCUCAUGAAGGCUGUGGUGAAAGUCCGGGGCUCAACCUCGGAACGGCCGUGGCGACUCGUGGGCUGGAGCACUGUAGAGGCGGGUGGAAUUCCGGGUGUAGCGGUGGAAUGCGUAGAGAUCCGGAAGAACACCAGUGGCGAAGGCGGCCCGCUGGGCAGUGGCUGACGCUGAGGCGCGACAGCGUGGGGAGCAAACAGG
rnacentral:rRNA from 1 species